UCCGGUUGAUCCUGCCGGAGGCCACUGCUAUCGGUUUCCGACUAAGCCAUGCGAGUCAGGUGUCGCAAGACGCCGGCGUACGGCUCAGUAACACGCGGAUGAUCUAUCCUCUGGUAGGGGAUAACCUCGGAAAACUGAGGCUAAUACCCCAUAGGUAUUUGAAGUUUGAAUACUCAGAUGCUGAAAGCGUGAGCGCCAGAGGGUGAGUCUGCGGCCUAUCAGGUAGUAGGUGGUGUAAUGGACCACCUAGCCUAAGACGGGUACGGGCCUUGAGAGAGGAAGCCCGGAGAUGGAUUCUGAGACACGAAUCCAGGCCCUACGGGGCGCAGCAGGCGCGAAACCUUCACACUGCGCGUAAGCGCGAUGAGGGGAGACCGAGUGCCUUCUCUUUACGGGAAGGCUUUUCACAAGCCUAAAAAGCUUGUGGAAUAAGGGCUGGGCAAGACGGGUGCCAGCCGCCGCGGUAAUACCCGCAGCUCAAGUGGUGGUCGCUAUUAUUGAGCCUAAAACGUCCGUAGUCGGCUUUGUAAAUCCCUGGGUAAAUCGGGUUGCUUAACGAUCCGAUCCCUGGGGAGACUGCAAAGCUUGGGACCGGGCGAGGUUAGAGGUACUCUCGGGGUAGGGGUGAAAUCCUGUAAUCCCGAGGGGACCACCUGUGGCGAAAGCGUCUAACUUGAACGGCUCCGACGAUGAGGGACGAAGGCUAGGGGAGCAAACCGGAUUAGAUACCCGGGUAGUCCUAGCUGUAAACACUGCCCGCUUGGUGUGGCCUGUCCUCCGGGGGCAGGCCGUGCCGGAGCGAAGGUGUUAAGCGGGCUGCUUGGGGAGUACGGCCGCAAGGUUGAAACUUAAAGGAAUUGGCGGGGGAGCACCGCAACGGGAGGAUGCGUGCGGUUUAAUUGGAUUCAACGCCGGA
rnacentral:rRNA from 1 species